rnacentral:rRNA from 1 species
AUUGAACGCUGGCGGCAGGCCUAACACAUGCAAGUCGAGCGGGGUUUUCGGACCUAGCGGCGGACGGGUGAGUAAUGCGUAGGAAGCUGCCCGAUAGAGGGGGAUACCAGUUGGAAACGACUGUUAAUACCGCAUAAUGUCUACGGACCAAAGUGUGGGACCUUCGGGCCACAUGCUAUCGGAUGCGCCUACGUGGGAUUAGCUAGUUGGUGAGGUAAUGGCUCACCAAGGCGACGAUCUCUAGCUGGUUUGAGAGGAUGAUCAGCCACACUGGAACUGAGACACGGUCCAGACUCCUACGGGAGGCAGCAGUGGGGAAUAUUGGACAAUGGGCGCAAGCCUGAUCCAGCCAUGCCGCGUGUGUGAAGAAGGCCUUCGGGUUGUAAAGCGCUUUCAGCGAGGAGGAAGGGGUGUGUGUUAAUAGUACACACCUUUGACGUUACUCGCAGAAGAAGCACCGGCUAACUCUGUGCCAGCAGCCGCGGUAAUAC